AGAGUUUGAUCCUGGCUCAGGACGAACGCUGGCGGCGUGCCUAACACAUGCAAGUCGAACGGAGAAUUUUAUUUCGGUAGAAUUCUUAGUGGCGAACGGGUGAGUAACGCGUAGGCAACCUGCCCUUUAGACGGGGACAACAUUCCGAAAGGAGUGCUAAUACCGGAUGUGAUCAUCUUGCCGCAUGGCAGGAUGAAGAAAGAUGGCCUCUACAAGUAAGCUAUCGCUAAAGGAUGGGCCUGCGUCUGAUUAGCUAGUUGGUAGUGUAACGGACUACCAAGGCGAUGAUCAGUAGCCGGUCUGAGAGGAUGAACGGCCACAUUGGGACUGAGACACGGCCCAAACUCCUACGGGAGGCAGCAGUGGGGAAUCUUCCGCAAUGGACGAAAGUCUGACGGAGCAACGCCGCGUGAGUGAUGAAGGAUUUCGGUCUGUAAAGCUCUGUUGUUUAUGACGAAUGUGCAGUGUGUGAACAAUGCAUUGCAAUGACGGUAGUAAACGAGGAAGCCACGGCUAACUACGUGCCAGCAGCCGCGGUAAUACGUAGGUGGCGAGCGUUGUCCGGAAUUAUUGGGCGUAAAGAGCAUGUAGGCGGCUUAAUAAGUCGAGCGUGAAAAUGCGGGGCUCAACCCCGUAUGGCGCUGGAAACUGUUAGGCUUGAGUGCAGGAGAGGAAAGGGGAAUUCCCAGUGUAGCGGUGAAAUGCGUAGAUAUUGGGAGGAACACCAGUGGCGAAGGCGCCUUUCUGGACUGUGUCUGACGCUGAGAUGCGAAAGCCAGGGUAGCGAACGGGAUUAGAUACCCCGGUAGUCCUGGCCGUAAACGAUGGGUACUAGGUGUAGGAGGUAUCGACCCCUUCUGUGCCGGAGUUAACGCAAUAAGUACCCCGCCUGGGGAGUACGGCCGCAAGGUUGAAACUCAA
rnacentral:rRNA from 1 species